AAAUAAGAAGUAAUAAAUUACAUAUUAAUUUCGACUUAAUAAUAGAUUCUUUAAUCCUUAUUUU
rnacentral:tRNA from 1 species